GGAGGUAAUUUAGCCAUUUGACUCAGCAGUGUUGGAUCACAGACACAUUUAAGGAGUUGGGGACCCCUGAUUUAGGUGAUCCAAAUACAAUUGCCUGAAGAAAGUGUUUAACAUUGUCCCGACUUCCCUCAAGUACAGUGGCUGUAGAUGUGGGUUGGAGAUGCAAUGACCUAGAACCUGCAGCCUAAGCAGAGAACUUCAGACCUCACUCUCCAGCUUAUCCAGGGUAACUCCUUCAGGUCCUGGGUCUGAUCCAGGGCCUCCUCCCGGUGGUACACGGGCAGUACACCUCACCUGGGAGACGCACAGGAGGAAUCCUUGUCAGAUGCCAGAACCACCUUAGCCAGGUCAGGAAUCAGGAUGAGGAAGAAAUUAGGGCGGCCUUUUGCGGCUGGCUUUACAGUGAGGCAGACCAAGACAAACUAGUGGAACAAAAAGUAUUUAAUUUUCAUGCAGCUUUCCUCACAAACUAUUCACACAUCUACUGACAACUAGCAGCCUUAAAUACUUUCAGCUGUCAGCACAAAAGAUUCCCCACACUCCCUUAACCCAUGGCCUCUCCCAGAACCUUUAAACGGUGUCUGGACCCCUGGGGGGAAACAUUGGCCUAAACACCCUUGAGAGGACACAGGAAAGAAAGACAGUCACCACAUUUCUUGAUGAGGAGCAGCUUUGCAGGACCUGGAACAAAGGCUACCAACUAAUUUUAAGAUACACAAUAAAUAUUCAAUAAAUUAUUAAACUUCUUGUGUGUAAAAUGUUCUUCAUGUGCAAAUCUAUACCUAAAGUGUGACGCUAAAUAAAGUGCUAGAUAAGGUGCUUUUAAUAAAGUGAAAGGUGUGCUCCGAAAGUGCUAUACAGAUUAUAAUAUAAAUAGUGGUAAGGGAGUCCUCUUCUUUACAGGCAUAAAUCUUCCCUUUGGUAAUUGAUCAGUAAAUCUCACUGCAUAUAAAUUCAGCUUACUGUUAUAAUUUCACGAGUAAAGCUGCUCAGGUGAUUUAAUUGCGUAAAUGUAGUAAAUGUUGAACUGUCCACAUUUUGAUUUAGUUUUGCAUGUUGCUGAUUCAACACAGAUCCACUGCUGUGGAUGAAACCUGCCUCUGAGGUUUUCAUCACUUAACCAGAACAGUGUCAGGCAAUCAUUGAGAAAUUGGGCUUAGCGUAUGCGGUGCUUGGGGUCAUUAUCGUGUUGCAUGGUCUAAUUUAGGAGAAGCUUUAGCUGUCAGAGAGACGGCCUCACUUUUGACUCUAGAAAACUUUGGCAUGCAGGGGAGUUCAUCGACUGCAAGGUGCCCAUCUCUUGUGGCUGCAGGAUGAGCUCAAAUCACCAUCCUUAAACCAGCAUGCUUGACAGUUGGUUUGAGGUGUUUGUCCUGUGUUUGUGUCCUCUUGGGGGAGCUCCUUACACUCCAUCUUAUGUCAUGCAGAGACACAUCUUCUAUAAUUAUAACUGAGAAGAUGUCAUUAACUAAGAAUUGAUUUCUUAAAUGUCAUCAACUAGUUUGCUGACUUUUGCAUAAGUAGCAAAUAAUCCUGCUCAUCUUGAUUACUAUUAGUGCUAUGAGUGGGUUUUCUUAAAAGCUUAGUUUUCUUUCACAUAGCAUAACAUGUGAAACCAAUUUCUUGCCAUUUUAUGCAGGUAAACUGCACGUUACAGGUUAAAGUUUGCAUGAUGAGGAGUUUGGGAAACUGGCUGGGGCAGGGGUAUCACUGUAACAUUGCCCGUUUAACAUAUUUUAUUGAGUGUGAGCGAUUAUAAACAGGUGGAGUAACACCCGAAUCACUUUUGGUGUCAAUGGACCACAGCUUAUUUUAAGUUUCGACCACAGUUGCACAGCGUACGGUGUUUUCUUAACAUUAGUUCCUUGAUUCUGAUGCUUUUCCACAGAUUCACAAUACAUACUUUCAAAUAAUAUAGGAUCUAUAAAACAUUUAUACAUUAUCAGAGCUGUCCAAAACAAAAUAUGUUGUUUUGAUAGAAACAAUAUUUAUGUGCAAUGUACUGUGGUAUGUUGUAUAAUUUAUGUAUACCUUCUCCAUCCCAUUUCAUCUGUCUAUUUUCUGUGCCAAGUUUUUUUCUGUUUAAAUGGAAACACAAAGACGUACUUUUGUUUAUAUUUAUUAUUUUUAGUGUAUAAAGUGUAUA